UCACGAGCGCAGCUCAGUUCAAAAUAUAGCUGAUACCCUAAAAAUGGAAAAAGGUUCUAUUUAUACUAAGCUGGAAAAACUGGACAAAAAUGCCCCUGCGGAGUCAGUGCGGACCGCACAAAAUGGUGUGCGGCCGCACUAGGAUUUUGACUCUGAAAAAUCAACUCUCUGAACCCAGGCUCCGCGGACCGUACAGAAUGGAAUGCGGCCGCGAAGGAGUCUCGCGCGGUCCGCACAAACACAACCGCAGACCGCAUAGGCUUAAACCUUAGCACUUGACAUCUCUCUGAAGUUUGCUUCCGCGGACCGCAUAAAAUGGUAGUGCAGUCGCGGUGUCUUCAGUGCGGACCGCACAAUAUGUACUACGGCCGCAUUGCUUUGAUGCUUUCAAAUCCAGCUCUCUGAAUCUCCCUAGUGUGGAUCGCACAAAGUGUAGUGCGGCCGCACUAGGCCUGUUUGUCCUGAGUUGUCUUGUCUUCGGUACUUGUGCAGGUUUCAAUCCUUUUGAGCCGAUCUUUGACGUCUCGUCACUUUGUUGAUCAAACCUGCAAUUAAGCACAACUUAUAAGCCUUUUGGGACUAUUUUGUAAGAAUUUAUAAUCAAAGUGUAAGCAAGAAAGAGCAUGAAACACGUCAAAAUCCCUAGUUAUCAAUAGCCUUACCCUGGGUUCGGUCCCAUCAGAACAAAAAUCCAUAUUCUCAAUACUCCAAAACUGGGGCAGAAGUUUGUUUUAUUUUACGGUUUUUUCUGUAAAAAUGGUUCCAAAAAGUUGUAAUUCAGUUCAAGGUUCAUUUCGCCUUUUUACCUUUUAGGAACUUCUGAUCGAUGUUUUUUGAGAAUGUUUGAAGUCCCCAUGCCAAGGGCAGUGGGCAACCUCCCUCAUGCAGUAUCUUAGUCAGAAAAAAAAAGAAAAAAAAUUAGAGAGUCUUAUCAGUGAAAACCCACACGGGCACUAUAAGGCGACAGUGAGUAGAGAAAUGAGAGAGUCUUGUUAGUGAAAACCCAGAUGGGCACCAUAAGGCGACGAUUAGUAUAGAAAUGAGAGAGUUUAGUUAGCGAAAACCUGCAAAGGGCGCUACAUGUUCAAGAUGAACAUUUGCGGCGAAUCUUGAGAAUUAGACAGCUCAGACGGAUCAGGAGUCCAGUCCAAAAUGCAUGUCAUGAUUCAUUAAAGUCAGCACAUACCUCCAGAUAAGUCUUCAUAUUCCUUUCCCCGAAAGGGACACCUUUUGUUUAAGCAUAGUUCUUUUUCACUUUCAAUUAUUAUUCUAUUUUUUACCUAUAAUUUUUCUUUGAGUCCCUUUCGGUCUAAUCCUGCAUCAAAAUUGAAGCAAAGAAAGGGAUGCAAAACUGGCUACAGUUUCCCCGUAAUGUCGAGCACAAUUUGGGGCAUAUAUGGCAUUGACGAAGGCACGAAUCUAUCUGUGAUUUCAUUUGAUAAGGUGAGCAAAGUGUCUCAAAGAAACUGAAAAGGUCGCCUAAGCAAGACUAGCUUCAUGAGAAAAGUUGAUAAGCACUACGGACACAAACCGAUACUUGGUGCAAGACAACUGAGUUUGAUAUUAAAGAAAAAUAACCUUGCCUUAGAGACAAGGGUAGCGGUACCAUGGGUAUCUAGGUAUGAAACAGUUGGGAGCAACAUGGGAAAGCCAAGGUCUUCAGAAAAUGAUACAGAGCAGCCGAGCAUCUCGGUACUACGCUGGCAGAAUCGUUUCUUCGACAGCAGUGGUCGUGAAUCAAACUACUCAAGGCAUCAAGGCCACAAACCAACCACCACUUUGAAAACUCACAAAUUUUUUUUUGUUUGAAGCAGGAACAAAGCAGUGCAGAAUGGCAAUUUUAAAAGAACGAAUGUCACUAAACGUAAGUUCCUUAAAAUCUCCAUUUUAUUUUAUUUUCAUCAUGCAUCACUAUUGUUGAAAGCUCAAUUUUUGUAGCUUAACUUAGGUAGAAUCCUUUCGCCUAGGGGGAUCCAGCUCAUAGUUCCCAGAAGAAGUACUCUUCGCUCAGGCUGUUUUUACGUAGCUUAACUUGGGUAGAACCUUUUCGCCUAGGGGGAUCCAGCUAAUAGUUCUGGGUAGAAGUACUUUUCGCUCAGGUUGUUUUACAUAGCAUAACCCAGGUAGAACCGUUUCGCCUAGGGGGAUCUAGCUCACAAUUCCGGGUAGAAGACUCUUUGCUCAAGUUGUUUUUACGUAGCUUAACCCAGGUAGAACCUUUUCGCCUAGGGGGAUCUAGCUCUUAUUUCCGGUAGAAGCACUCUUCGCCCAUCCUCAUACAAAAAUUCAAUUCUUUUGACUCAGCUCUUUCUCAACUAUCUCUCUUUUCAACCUUCUUUCCAGAUGUAGGUAUCGUCUUAUUACGAAUGAAAUAGAAUUUCGGAGUUUGAAUUCUUAUAAGUGAGCUCUAUCACACGAUCUAGAGUAAGAAGAAAGAUUGACAAUCCUAAAUGCCAUGUAGCCUCCUGCUUAUAAGUGUGGUGCACGACACACCCAUAAACAAGACUCUACUAGACACAGUUUGUAGACUCCCUAGGAUAGAACUGCUCUGAUACCACUUCUGUCAUGCCCCGAACCUAGGGGCGAGACUGACACCCAGUGCCUCACCCAUCCUUGCGUACUAACUUACAACUAAGGGACUCUGAACAUAUGAUGUCAUACUUUGGCCAUGGGCCAUAUUGCAAGAUAACUGCGAAUGCUGACUAAAUGUCAAUAUAUAACUGGGCUGACAAGGCCAUCAUAACUAUUACAGCUGACAAACCAACCAAAUAUACAAACAAGACCUGCAAGCCCAACUUAUUGGGCUAAUUGACAAGAUGCGUCUACAAGCCUCUACUGAUGGAUAUAUUGUGAUCGGAACAACUAUCCGACCUACUCAUAACACAUAUACAAGAUGUAUAUAAGACUCUAGACCCGGAAACUCCGAAAGACUUGAAGCUUACCGAUCAAGCUGAACUCGGGCAAUACUUAUUGAAGAGGCCUACCCGUCUGUCUGUCUAACCUGUACGUAUGAAGUGCAGCACACCCAGAAAAGGGACGUCAGUACGAAAUAAUGUACUAAGUAUAUAAGACAAUAUACUGAAAGCUGAAACUAAACUGAUAAUAUAAUAACUGUAAGUAGCUGGAAGUCAAAGAUAAUCUGAAGAUAUGCUUACCUGCUGAUACUGACUCAACUCUCUUAAUAUAGUAAGUAAAAUAGUUGUUCGGCCCUAUAAGGCUCGGUAUAUAACUUACCAUCUGAUCAGAGGUUGCCCAAUAGGGGCCUGCCCAUCGAUUAUAGCUCGAUGGUAAUGAAAAUACUUUUAAUACUGUAUAUAUAUCAACUUCUCUGCUCUCUUUACUGGAAGAAGAAAAUACUCAACUGAAUAUGAAAUCCCGAUAAGGAGGAUAUUAUAACUUACAACACUAGAAAAAUAUACACAAUUUGCGAGACUAGCAAAAUAUACGUAAAUUCUAGGAUAUGAAUGUAAUGACGAGAUCAUGCCAAAUGAAAGAAGAGCUUAGCCUUAACAUACCUGGAGUAGGAAAAACUACGUAUAAUAUUCCAUUGGAAAU
rnacentral:lncRNA from 1 species